rnacentral:rRNA from 14 species
GUCUCAAUAGAUUAAGCCAUGCAUGUCUCAGUGCAAGCCGCAUUAAGGUGAAACCGCGAAAGGCUCAUUAAAUCAGUUGUGGUUCCUUAGAUCGUACCCAAGUUACUUGGAUAACUGUGGUAAUUCUAGAGCUAAUACAUGCCGACAGAGUUCCGACCGUCGCGGCGCCCUCGGGCGUCGCUCGCGGGAGGAACGCUUUUAUUAGAUCAAAACCGGCCCGUCGCGGCGCGCUUCGUGCGCGUCCCGAUCGCGGCCCGCGCAAAGACCUGGUGACUCUGAAUAACUUCGAGCUGAUCGCACGGUCUCCGUACCGGCGACGCAUCUUUCAAAUGUCUGCCUUAUCAACUGUCGAUGGUAGGUUCCAUGCCUACCAUGGUGGUAACGGGUAACGGGGAAUCAGGGUUCGAUUCCGGAGAGGGAGCCUGAGAAACGGCUACCACAUCCAAGGAAGGCAGCAGGCGCGCAAAUUACCCACUCCCGGAACGGGGAGGUAGUGACGAAAA